CAUACACUUAGCAAUAGAGCUUGCACACGGCCCGAGUGUUUCUUUAAAAAGUUAGCAAUCUAAUACCCAUCAAAGCAAGUUAUUUGCUGAACUGGAAAUCUUAAACCUGAAUGAAACUGAAAUCCUAAUGUGGCUGUAGGUAUGGUGUGUGUCCAGGUCACAAACUCCCGGCGAUCCCGAGGGAAGACGUUCCAGGGAGCUGGGCACCUGCAAUCCGCAGUGAAGAACCACAGCCUCGGGGAUAUCCGACGUUGCAAAACAUCUGUAUUUACGCCGGGCUUAAAAGAAGGGAGAUCCCAUUUUGUGCACAGUUAAGGGACCCACAGCUGAGACCUACCUCGCCUGUGGCCAGAGCGACAAAAUUUUCCACAGUCUUGGGCACAACCUUUCCAAAGAGGCCAAUCACAAUUCUGCCAACAUCUUUGUCUCCGAUCCUCACAUCAAAGAAGACCUGCGUGUGGUUGAACCGGCAGAGCACAGGUACAAGAUCACCGUGUUUCGAGGAUUCCGGGCUGGAAUGCUUGAAAAGGCUACCGAGUCGAAGGGCAUUCUAUUAGCAAGUUUAGAUUAUAUGAACCAAUUUACGGUUUGAAUGGGUAAAAAACGACAUUCAAGAGAUGGCUUUAAAAAAAUGUAAGAAGGGUUGUCAGAGGAAAAAGAUGUCUUAUAGUUUAGAAAAAUCAUAAAGUAAAGACUGUGAAGCGUUAGUCCAAGACAAGAGCUUCUGCCAAUACAUCAGCACGUCUGUCACGGGGUGAUGUGAUAUUUAGUGUUCCGUGUGGCAUUUGAGAGUUUUUACGUGGCCACAGCAGCCAAAACUGUAUUAUUAUUUAUACGGCACAACUUUAUGGAAUGUAUAAGAGACCGGGCCCUUGAGAUGCGGCGAUGCACUUGAGGAGAACAAGUCAAUGGGGCUCAGGGACAGGAAGCUGCAUGAAUGUGCCACAAGCCCGGUCGUGCAGAGCCCACGUCGCAGAGAAGCCAUUUCUCCAAAGUGAUUUACAAGCCAACGAGAGAAUCAAUGACGGGCAGUAACGAACCAACAUCCGGAAAAGACUCAGGGACACAGUCUUCUAGGGACACCAUACAAGACGCUAGAAAAGCCUGCCAGACUUGUAAAAUAAAGAAAAGAAAAUAUCACCUUUGAGUGUUGAGACAGCACGAAGAAGAAAAUGUGGGAGGGCAGCAGAAGAUGAAGAGGGCUUGUCACCCAGCAAAACGCGUCAAUAAAAAAAUCUGACUUUCUUA